AUGGCCUACCAAGGCGACGAUCAGUAGCUGGUCUGAGAGGAUGAUCAGCCACAUUGGGACUGAGACACGGCCCAACUCCUACGGGAGGCAGCAGUGGGGAAUAUUGGACAAUGGGCGCAAGCCUGAUCCAGCCAUGCCGCGUGAGUGAUGAAGGCCCUAGGGUUGUCAAGCUCUUUUGUGCGGGAAGAUAAUGACGGUACCGCAAGAAUAAGCCCCGGCUAACUUCGUGCCAGCAGCCGCGGUAAUACGAAGGGGGCUAGCGUUGCUCGGAAUCACUGGGCGUAAAGGGUGCGUAGGCGGGUCUUUAAGUCAGGGGUGAAAUCCUGGAGCUCAACUCCAGAACUGCCUUUGAUACUGAAGAUCUUGAGUUCGGGAGAGGUGAGUGGAACUGCGAGUGUAGAGGUGAAAUUCGUAGAUAUUCGCAAGAACACCAGUGGCGAAGGCGGCUCACUGGCCCGAUACUGACGCUGAGGCACGAAAGCGUGGGGAGCAAACAGGAUUAGAUACCCUGGUAGUCCACGCCGUAAACGAUGUAUGCCAGCCGUUAGUGGGUUUACUCACUAGUGGCGCAGCUAACGCUUUAAGCAUUCCGCCUGGGGAG
rnacentral:rRNA from 2 species